CCACAUAAAUAUCUGACCUCUGCGGAUCGUCCACACGAAGCUCCCGUCUGAUCAGCUCCUCACGAAUGCUAGUUCGUGAUUUCAUCCUUUUGAUGGCAGAUGUUGAUCGAACUCCUUCGAUCGAUGUGUGCUGACUUCUCGGAUGCUCCAGAUCAUCUGCACAAUUGCUUGAGAGGCUGAUGGAUCUCUCCCUAAAAUUUGGUGGACUCACGACACUCGUGGCACACCAAUCUCACUUCCCGAACCCUAGGUAGAAACUCUAGGGUACACACCAAAAACCCUGCGCCCAAUUUUCUCUCUUUUCUUUCUUUUUCUCUCGAAAGGUUUUGGACCUUCACCUUGCACAGAAGCCUUCCUCACGCCCCAAAGUUUCUCUCCUAAAAUUUCUACGCAUGUCCCACCUUUCUUCUCUUUUUAAAACAACAUCGAACGUGUCUUAUCCGCGUGAGAGGAUAAAGAUAAGAGGUUACACAUUUGAAUUCAAAUCAAAUUUGAAUUCAAACAAAAACCAACUUAUCCCUAUACUUUUGGACGUGAGAAGAGAAGGGGCGUGGCUCUUUGUGCGUGGAAAAUGUUUCACGAGAAACCUUUUCUCGUGUAAGUAAUGUGGCGCACAAAAUGGAUAAGGAUGAAAGGGCAAGUGAUAAGUUAUCCAUUCAAAUUCAAACAUGCUUUGAAUUUGAAUGGCUAACUAAUUAUUUUAUCCAUCCAUAUGGCGCACAAAUGAGGGCGUGGGGAAGGGUUUUGCGUGAGAAAAAUUUCAUGAGAAGUUUCUUCUCGUGAAUUCAAAUAGGUGCAAGGAAGUUGGGUGUCGCAGGAAAUUUAAAACAAGGUGGUUUGAUUCAAAUUGAGCCAACCUAGUUUAAAAUAGGUUAAGCACAAUUAGACCAGAUUAAACCUAACAUAAUUAGGCUUAAUUAGGCUCAAUAAAAUUCUAAUCAAAUCAAAAAUUAACUAAACCUAANN
rnacentral:lncRNA from 1 species